ACGAACGCUGGCGGCGUGGAUUAGGCAUGCAAGUCGAACGGUAUCAUCCUUUCGGGGAUGAGAGAGUGGCGAACGGGUGAGUAACACGUAGGUGAUCUACCCUCAAGACGGGGACAACCCAGGGAAACUUGGGCUAAUACCGGAUGUGAGCUAUCGUGAGAUAGUUUGAAAGGUGGCUUCGGCUGCCGCUUGAGGAUGAGCCUGCGUCCUAUUAGCUAGUUGGUGAGGUAACGGCUCACCGAGGCAGUGAUAGGUAGGCGGCCUUAACGGGUGGUCGCCCACACUGGGAUUGAGAUACGGCCCAGACUCCUACGGGAGGCAGCAGUCGAGAAUAGUCUACAAUGGUCGGAAGACUGAUAGUGCGACGCCGCGUGAACGAUGAAUCCCUUCGGGGUGUAAAGUUCUUUUAUAUGUGAGCAGUGCUUCUUAUAUUAACAGUAUGGGGAGAGAGAUAUUAGCAUAUGAAUAAGCAACGGCUAACUCCGUG
rnacentral:rRNA from 1 species